UUACGGCCAUAUUACAUUGAAACACCGGUCCUCGUACGAUUAUCGAAGUUAAGCAAUGUCGAGCAUGGUCAGUACCUAGAUGGGUGACCGCUUGUGAAAAGCAGUUGCUGUAAG